AAAAAUCACAAUUUAUUUGAUUUUCAGCGGCACGGGGUUCUGGCCUUCCUUAUUGAAUUUUUCGCGCUCCAUUGACAAUCGCCUGCCGGACUGGAAAGUCGUGUACUCCACACGGACAAAAAAAUUUUGUUUUACAGCUAAAAUCGAGCCACGCGACGCGACACACAACGCGCCGUAAAUCUACCCCAGAUAUGGCCGAGUCAAAAUGGCCUAGUUCGGCAAACUCUUCCAUUUCAAUUUGUGAGGGAAAUCAGAAAUCUGUGCUACGGUUUCAAAAAUUCACGGAUUUUCAAGAUCCUUCCCAGCACAGCCGGAUUUCGCGAAAAUGCCGAAAAGACAAUUUAAGCUUACUUCGAGCUUCAUAGGCUCCUUCCAGAACGCCUCCCGAGCUCUGUAGCAGAUUUCGAUGAUCUCCUUCUCUUGAAAAAGUGUCUGACAAUUGCCUGGACUCCAUGAUUGGGUAAGCCGAAAGAUGACAUUUGUGAGCUUUCUGUGGAGAGGACUGCCCGGUGGAGGGCCCUCGUCGCUCAUUUUGUUAGGAAAUAAUUGAAUUUCGUUUUGAAAAUCCUUUUUUUCUGCCCUUUUUUAUUUUUUUUUUCACGUGAAUAUUGAAUAUUUACCUUUCAAUAAAUCUAUUUACGAA
ensembl:antisense_RNA anr-42 ncRNA